AAACUUGACGUACACACGCAGUCCUAUCCCUACGGUCCUGGAAUUGGGGGUUACUAUCUUGGAAUCUGGGGGCACUCCAGGCUCUGGGCUCAGACGGCUGACUUCUGCCUAUCCCAGCCUUAACCUUUCAAAGACGGGAAGGAUUCCGGAGCUCUUGCCCUAAGUCCUGGGGCAGCGAUGACUCACCGCAGCACCCCCUCCCACUUCGCCAAGCUGCCGUCUCCGCCCACCCCCAAACAAUCUCGACAGCGCAUUUCGGGAGCCACGGCUCCGGGCGCUCUGCUGGGGGCUAAAGGGGUUUAUCCCUUUCCUUUAAUUCCAGCAGGCUAGAACUACCCCCUCCCAGGCUUCAGGCUUGCCAUGCUCCCCACCCGAUCCUUCCAAUGCAAGGCAGAGAAGGAAGGAUGCGCUUGGGAACUCUGAGAGCCGCGAACGACAGCGCACUGAUGGAGCAGCCCAGUGUCCGGGGCAAAGUCCUCGAGGUUCAUUCAUUCAGCAAGCCUCUGUCCAGCCUUUACCAUGUGCUGAGUGAGAAGCUGAGGAUAAGGAAGAGAAAGACCCCCAAGAAACUCUAAUGUCUGGCUGAAAGCUGAAGCAUGACGCAACUUUGCUAUAGUUCUCUCCAACAAGGAUUUGUAUAUUUUCACUUUCUCCUCAAGCAACACCUGGACCUGCUCCUUUCCCUCAGUCUCCAAGUUCCUUUAUGAAAUAGGGUGUACCAUCAGAGAUGCAGGUAUUUAUUGAAACCUGCUUUGUGCUGGGCAAUAUACCAGAUGUUGGGGAUAAAAUAGAGCCUUCAGAAAUGAAGAUGCAAAGAAACAGGGGAAAACCAUGUAUAUUUACGGACAGUCAUGCCAAAGUAUGAUUGGAGGACAAAAAGACCUGCGAUCUCACUAUGUUGCCUAGGCUGGUCUAAAAACUCCUGGCCUCAAGUGAUCCCCCCCGCCUUGGCCUCCACAGUGCUGGAAUUACAGGUAAGCAUCACUGCGUGACUCAGUUCUGGCCAAUGAGAUGGGAAGGAACUCUUCUGGGACGGAAAAAGCUUUUAUCGUUGUUAAUAAAAAGGAGAAUGCCUCUACAGGAAAAGAUCUUUUUCAAUACCACUCUGUUGCCCACUUCCUGCCUUGAUGUUGUUUGGAGCUACAGCGCCCAUCUUGAGAUAAUGAGGAAAAACACACAUUGUAAAAUAAGAAUCCUUCAAAGACAACUUGAGGACGUCUGGGAAUUCUGAAGCCUGAAAAUUCCAUGACUUCAUAGCAGUAUUCACUAAUUCCCCUGAUCUAAAGACAAAAAGGAGGGUCAACUGCAGUGCCCAAACUCAUUUCUGAUGAUUUCUUCCAUCCUACCUUUUCUGCCUCUCUGGGGGUGGUUAUGCCUGUGAAAAACAUCGAAGCUGUCAGGAAUACAGUAGGCUUUCAAGACUGGAAUGUCAAAGUAGAGUCUUCUUUUCCUCAGACCAGAAGAGUUUCCAGAUCUAAACAAAGACAAGACUGGGAUAUAGGAGGUUGUACACAUAAACAGCGCAAACACCUUGGGUAAGUCAUAUACAAGAGAGACCAAAACAGGGCAGGAACACAAUCCUAAAGCUACAUGAGAUAAGAAGCCAAGAGACCCUGUCUGCAGGCUGAUCUGUGUUGCAACCAGAGGCCAACUACACGCAAGAAAAUUCUAAAUGAUGUAAUUGGUCAUGGGCACUUUCUUGCAAAAACGAUCGACAUUUUUUCUUAUAGGGAUAAAGCUUGAAAGCAUGCGAUGUAGCUCCAUUAGGAAAUAUGAAGUGAGCUGGUAUAUUCCAGGUAGGUUAGACUGAGAUCAUUACAAAAUUGGGCUGAUUUUACACUGAGAAGAACCUGAUUCCUAAAGGUGUUGAAGGACAAGAUGGGGACAGUUAUUAAAGUGUUCAGGUGCUGUCCUUUGUAGUCUGUAGCCUAUUAAUACACAACUGAACACAGACCCAAGAAAAGGGGUUCUACUCAUUGCUAGAAUGUAAACUCUAAGAAGAUAAGGAUUUUGUCUCUUCGUUUACUACUGUAUUCCCAGCUCCUAGAAGAGUGCCCAGCACUUAGUAUCUGUUGGUAAGUGACUGUUGAAUUAAUCAACCAGUGGUGAGACUUUGGAAAGCAGCUAGUCCAUCUGUAAGACUGUUUUCUCAUCUGUGAGAUGAGUCGGUUAGAUUAGAUGUUUUCUAAGCUUAUUCUAGUUUUAAAAAUUGUGUGUUUCUAUCAGAAAUGAUAAACGAAAAUGUCCGUUCCUUUUUAAUCUCCAUCACCCAUCUCACAUCUUCUUUCAGUGCCUAUGUGGUCUGUUUGAGUACAACCAACCAGAUGUAGGAAAGUUCUAACUGAUAUGAGACGACUUCAGUAGUCCAGUGACUCUCCCCCCCACCGCCCCCCCGUAAAGUCAUUUGCUUAGUUUAAUGUAUAUUAUAAAAACAGAAUUAGUUUCUCAAUUCCAUUUAUAGUCAUACGAUAGUUUACUUUUCACAUAAAUUUAAGGUACAAGGAAGUCAACUUAAAGAAAAUAUUUUAAGUAAAUUACAACGCAAGUUCUGCACAGAUGUAGCACAAACCACAAUGGUAGGACACCAACAAUCGCAAUUUGAGAAAUAAGCCUCUUCAUCAGUACUCAUGGCACGUAGCUUAAAACCUGACUUUCACUAGUGCUCUCAAAGGGACUAAGUCACAAUUCAAGUGACCAUACCAUUUAGCUGAGGGCCCUUUAUUCCUGUUUAUGGUAAAAUAAUUGCCUUACUUGAACUUUUAAAAAAUAUACUUUUUCUGCUUCUGACCAUAAUGGGCUAGCUGCCAUUAAAGAGACCAUCUAUCAGAAACAAUUAGAAAACCGGAUGGAAUAUACGAAGCCACUGUUUUUGGACAAUAGGCAGCACAACACUAUGAUCCCUGAGAAAAAGGAAGGAAAUGAGGUGAUGCCUACAAUUGCCCUGAUUUUUUGCCUAGAGAUACUAUCCGAACUGCUACUCUGGAAAGGAAAACCCAGGUGAAACAUGGGGCCUCACCGAGUAGAGGACACAGGGAUCAAUAUUGGGAAAGCUGAAAUGACUGGAAUUUGUAGGACAGAGUAUGUGGAAGGAAGGAGCUAUGUAGGGAAAGAGCUCAAGAAAUACGCACAAAGGGUGGGUGCAGUGGCUCACAUCUGUAAUCCCAGCACUUUGGGAGGC